rnacentral:rRNA from 1 species
CAGCCGCCACGGGAAUACGGAGGGGGCUAGCGUUGUUCGGAAUUACUGGGCGUAAAGCGCACGUAGGCGGCUUGGUAAGUUAGAGGUGAAAGCCCAGGGCUCAACCCUGGAAUUGCCUUUAAGACUGCCGAGCUAGCAGGUGAGAGAGGUAAGUGGAAUUCCGAGUGUAGAGGUGAAAUUCGUAGAUAUUCGGAAGAACACCAGUGGCGAAGGCGGCUUACUGGCUCAUACUGGACGCUGAGGUGCGAAAGCGUGGGGAGCAAACAGGAUUAGAUACCCCGGUAGUCCCUGUCUCUUAUAC